rnacentral:rRNA from 1 species
AGUGAACGCUGGCGGUAGGCCUAACACGUGCAAGUCGAACGGCAGCACAGUAAGAGCUUGCUCUUACGGGUGGCGAGUGGCGGACGGGUGAGGAAUACAUCGGAAUCUACUUUUUCGUGGGGGAUAACGUAGGGAAACUUACGCUAAUACCGCAUACGACCUACGGGUGAAAGCAGGGGAUCUUCGGACCUUGCGCGAUUGAAUGAGCCGAUGUCGGAUUAGCUAGUUGGCGGGGUAAAGGCCCACCAAGGCGACGAUCCGUAGCUGGUCUGAGAGGAUGAUCAGCCACACUGGAGCUGAGACACGGUCCAGACUCCUGCGGGAGGCAGCAGUGGGGAAUAUUGGACAAUGGGCGCAAGCCUGAUCCAGCCAUACCGCGUGGGUGAAGAAGGCCUUCGGGUUGUAAAGCCCUUUUGUUGGGAAAGAAAAGCAGCAGGUUAAUACCCCGCUGUUCUGACGGUACCCAAAGAAUAAGCACCGGCUAACUUCGUG